CCGCGCAUGCGCAUGGAGGCCCGGCGCGGGUGGCUGUCUCCGCCCAGUGCGUCCUUGCGCAGUACCGGGCGACUCUUCCGGGAAGUGGGGCCCGGGAGGUUAAAUAUUGACCACGCGUGAGCCAGAAUCCUGCCCACUUCCCUUGACCGUAGUGUCCCCAGUGGACACAGCGAACCUGGAGGCUAAGGAUCCUGAAGAAUCAGUACCACACGCGUAUAUUACAUGUUUUAUUUAAAAAGUGGGAGGAAAUGAACACUAUGAUGAGCCUCUAGGACGUUGUGCAAAAGGUGACGCAUAUCUGUAAAUCUCAGCAGCUGGGAUGCUGAGGCAGGAUGACGAGUUCGAGACCAGCCGUAGGCCGCGGACUUUCUACUCUGCUAGAGGCCAUUGUUGAUGAAGACAGAAAAAUGUCAAGUGGUGACUGCUGGCAGAAAGGAAUAGGAUCUUACUGAGUUGUGCAGCCUGGGCCUCGGACUUUCAGCUUUCCUGCUUCAGCUCCCUCCAAUAGCAAGGAUGAUUGGUCCCCACCAUUGGGCCUGGCUGUAUUCAUGGUUAAAUUUGCAGCAUCCAGUGAAGGCCCUGGCCUCCAGACAUCACUCAGGUCCUGUGUUCUCCAGGCCGCUCUCAAAUAUGCUCUGUGAAUGAGAAGGGCUUUGAACUUCUGAUGGUCCUGUCUCCGUGUCUUCAGAGCUAAGAUUACAGGCACAUACCUCCAUGCUUGGUUUCCAAAAGUAAAAAGGACUUUUUAUUUUAAACAUUUCUGUAGCAGGAAUCUUAAAGGUUCUUAUUAAUAAAAUCAAACCCGAGGCCAUUUAUUGGGGAUGACACAUGUGUGCCCUGCCAUGUCCAGCUUUUUAUUUGGUCGCUGGGUGUCUGAACUCAUGUCCGCAUCAUUGAAUGAUGAAUGCUUUAUACGAUGAGCCGUCUCCCCAGCUCCAUACUUUGGGUUUUGAAAACGACAACAUGAUGGAAAUGCCAGGGUUCCAGAUGAAUCUACUCCUGUUUAUUGUCUAUCAGACACUACAGCCAGAGGACAGAGCAAGGAGCUGGCACACCCUCCAAGCAGAGACUUCUAAAAGGAAUGUUCCAGACUUGUACAUUCUUUCUCCUAGUUCUAAUCUGUAGCAAGGGUGUGACUUGCCUUCAGCACCACUGACUGAUCACAACCAUGGUACUCAGGAGAGAUGCCUUAUGAUCAAGAUGACUAGGGAGUGGGGAUGGCAAAGGCUUCUCCCCUGUAGCAUGUACCACCUACCAGAAGGUCCAGGGCUCCCUACAGGUACUCAGUCCAGAAUCCCAGGCCAGGGAAGUGUGCUGCCUACAUUCAGGGUGGAUCUUCCCACAUCAGAUGAGCCUCCCUGGAAACACCGUGAUAGACAAGCCCAGUGCUGUGCCUCCCAGAUGAGUCUCAUCAGGUCAACAGUGGAGAUUAACUACCACAACAGGGACUAGCCGGGGAUUCCUGCUGGGGACACACCCCAUGGGGACUUCACCAGUGGACUGUGCACCGUUGGGAAUCAGCUGUGUGUGAAGUCACAAUUCUCCCUUUGCAGAUAUGGGAAAGAUGUGGUUAAGGGUGACCCCCAAGUGUCCCGUCUCUACAUGGCUAUUUUGCUGUCUGGCUUUGUGCCACCAGAGAUCGCCCUUGUAUUGUCCUUGUGUGUUCAUAUUGUGCUGAUUUGGAGGGCUCCCACCAGCCUCCAGUUGUGGGUGUGUUGGAUGACCUUGUGCUCUGGGCCUUUGUAGUAUCUACGAAGAGCUCUGUCUUCCCCUGUGCCAGGCCAUGAGCCAUGUGUGGUACUUAACAAAAAGAGUUCCAGGGUGUUGGCAAGGACUACCUCUCUUAAUUAUCAUUGUCUUGGUCUUGGGACACAUGGAGGACAAAAUAUCAGAAUUGACUAAGUUGGAGGCAUAGUUCAGCAGUACAUUGCUUUUCUAGAAUCCCCCAGUGAGGCGCUGAGGUGUGGCUCAGUGGUAGAGUUCCUGCUAGCAUGCAUGAGACCCUGAAUUCAUUCCCAGCAGUGUAUAGGUACACACACACACACACACACACACACACACACACACACACACACACUUCAAAACAAAAAUCCCACGCACCAAGUUUCAAGUUUCAAGUACCCCAAGAUUCAACUUUAUGCUGUUCUAUUAUGACUUCACAGGUCUCCACCCUCAAUUCCUCACUCCACCUAUAAUCUAUUUUCCAGCCUCACAAUUUUGCCAUUUAAAGGAUGUUAUACAAAUGGAAUAAUAUAGAGUGUAACCCUUUGA